rnacentral:rRNA from 1 species
UACGUAGGGCGCAAGCGUUGUCCGGAUUUAUUGGGCGUAAAGAGCGUGUAGGCGGCCAUACAGGUCAGCUGUGAAACUCGAGGCUCAACCUCGAGACGUCGGUUGAAACCGUAUGGCUAGAGUCCGGAAGAGGAGAGUGGAAUUCCUGGUGUAGCGGUGAAAUGCGCAGAUAUCAAGGAGGAACACCGGUGGCGAAGGCGGAUCUCUGGGCCUUACCUGACGCUCAGGCGCGAAAGCUAGGGAGCGAACUGG